rnacentral:rRNA from 1 species
GUAGGGAAUAUUGGGCAAUGGUCGGAAGACUGACCCAGCCAUGCCGCGUGCAGGAAGACGGCCCUCUGGGUUGUAAACUGCUUUUAUCUGGGAAGAAAAAGGCCAUGCGUGGCAAAUUGCCGGUACCAGAUGAAUAAGCACCGGCUAACUCCGUGCCAGCAGCCGCGGUAAUACGGAGGGUGCGAGCGUUGUCCGGAUGUAUUGGGUUUAAAGGGUGCGUAGGCGGCUGAUUAAGUCAGCGGUGAAAGACUUCGGCUUAACCGGAGCAGUGCCGUUGAUACUGGUUGGCUUGAGUGUCGGAGGGGUACAUGGAAUUGAUGGUGUAGCGGUGAAAUGCAUAGAUACCAUCAGGAACACCGAUAGCGAAGGCAUUGUACUGGCCGACAACUGACGCUGAUGCACGAAAGUGUGGGGAUCGAACAGGAUUAGAUACCCUAGUAGUCC